UCCCUCUUCCGCUUCUCGUCAAUCCACCGCCCACUCCCUCUCCCUCCUCCACUUCGCCUGCCUCUACUCCUCCAUCCUCUUCUCUCCUCUUCCAUCCUCUUCUCUCCUCUUCAUCAAGCCUCCGCUCAUUUUCUCUGCAAUAUCCUUGCCUUCUCUAGCCCUUUCUUCAUCUAUCGCGCCCUCAGCGACGCUGGCAUCCGCGUCUCCUCACAGGAUGUGGAGGUCGUGCUUAAGAUCUCUUCUUCCCAACCGGUGCCGCCUUCGCCCUAUCUCGACCAUCUAAAAGUCGGCGUUUGUGAGAGGAGGAAGGGGAAAGAGAUUCAUCCUUGCGGCGUGAGGAUGUAGUACCUUCUGUCGCAUCCUUCCUGUUCAAUCUGGCUUAGAUCGCUAACGCAUAGCGCAGUUCCGUUCACCAGAUGGCGGUUUGAUCUUCUAGCGCUGUCGAAUAUCUUUGUUACGCACAGAUGGUUGGGGAAACAUUUGUGGAUCAGUAUUAUAAUUACCUCUGCAAUUCUGCGGAGUUAGUUCAUCGGUUUUACUAGGAAAGGAGCAGACUUGGCCAUCCUAAUGGCCAUGGCAACGUUACCUGCACAUCGAUUAAAUUUCAGGUUUAUAUCAGACAAGCUCUUGAUCAUCUUAUUGGUUUGUGCGGUGAUCUUUCUUUUACACCGAAGCUUCCCAAAAUAAAGAUUCACCUUGUAUGGAUGAAAUGAGUGAUAAAAUGAACAGAGACUGUGGUCCUCUGAACAACAGAGAGAGUUGAGCUUGGAAGGAGGAAGAACCAGAUAAUGUGAUUGAUGUAACUGCCGAUAGCUUUCCACCUCCACUGGUUAAAUCAGAGACUAAAAGUGAUCAUGAGGAGAAUCUCAAAAAGCCUUAUGCUUCAGUAGUCAAAGUUAUGAUGGAUAUUGCUUUAGAAUCUUCUCCAGCAUGAUGUCCUGCUUAACAUCGUCCAGCUUCUCGUGGUCCUAUUUCUGGAUCGAUUGGUUCUUAAAGCAAAAAAAAUCUAGAAGGCACAAUAUACUAACUUCAAGACGUUUGGUCCUAUAAAGCCUGUUGGAAUACAAGUCAAACGCUAUAAGUUACAAAAUUCUUGCUUUGGUUUCGUGGAGUUUAAGUUCUCAGAUGUUGUCCAGCGGGCAAUAGAGGCAAGGUUAAUGAUAUUGACAGAUACACCUAUGGACCAAAUUAAAGCGUUGGACUUACAAGAACUGGAAGUUAGUGAAAUGACAUCAAUCUAUACUUCGGAUUAUGGCUAGCCAAACAUAUUCAAUAGGUUUUUAACUUACAUAUAUGGGUUAGUGUAAUGAGAUAUUUGCAAUCUAUUCUGUACAAUAACUAUCAGUUAAUGAGUAAUACCUUAUUUUCAUCAUUA